rnacentral:rRNA from 1 species
AUUCCAGCGAAGAACGUAUAUUCAAGUUGCUGCGGUUAACUUGUAGUUGGACUUCUGUGAGGAAUGGUAAGACGCCGAAAGGUUUUAUGUGGAUUGUCCUCUUACUUCGUCAAACGCGCUUGCGUCAUUUACCUGUGUGGUACGAUGCUCAGACCUUUUACCUAACGGAGAAUGUUUUAGGCAGGCUACCCAGCUUGAAUGCAUUAGCAUGGAAUAAUGAAAUGGAUUUCGGUUCGACUUCGUUGGGUCUAGAGCUGAGGUAAUGAUCAAAAGGAACAGGCGAAGGUAUUCGUACUUGAGAGUGAACGUGAUAUCCGAUGAUCUGUUGAAGAAGAUCCGAGACGAAAUCAUCUAUCAAAGACGUUUUCAUUA